rnacentral:rRNA from 1 species
CCUACGGGUGGCAGCAGUGGGGGAUAUUGCACAAUGGGGGGAACCCUGAUGCAGCAACGCCGCGUGGGUGAAGAAGCGCCUCGGCGCGUAAAACCCUGUCAGCAGGGACGAAAAUGACGGUAGCUGAAGAAGAAGCCGCGGCUCACUACGUGCCAGCAGCCGCGGUAAUACGGAGGGGGCAAGCGUUAUCCGGCUUUACUGGGUGUAACGGGGGCGCAGGCGGCGAUGCAAGCCAGGUGUGAAAUCCCGGGGCUCAACCCCGGGACUGCACUUGAAACUGCGUGGCUUGAGUGCAGGAGGGGCAGGCGGAAUGCCGGGUGUAGCGGUGAAAUGCGUAGAUAUCAGGAGGAACACCGGUGGCGAAGGCGGCCUGCUGGACUGCAACUGACGUUGAGGCCCGAAAGCGUGGGGAGCAAACAGGAUUAGAUACCCGGGUAGUC